GCCCGGGUAGCCCAACUGGCAGGAGGCGCUUGGUUCAGGACCAGGACAGUGUGCGUUCGAAUCGCACCCCGGGUAC
rnacentral:tRNA from 1 species